UACGUAGGGUGCAAGCGUUAAUCGGAAUUACUGGGCGUAAAGCGUGCGCAGGCGGUCUGUUAAGACCGAUGUGAAAUCCCCGGGCUCAACCUGGGAACUGCAUUUGUGACUGCAUGGCUAGAGUACGGUAGAGGGGGAUGGAAUUCCGCGUGUAGCAGUGAAAUGCGUAGAUAUGCGGAGGAACACCGAUGGCGAAGGCAAUCCCCUGGACCUGUACUGACGCUCAUGCACGAAAGCGUGGGGAGCAAACAGG
rnacentral:rRNA from 1 species